rnacentral:piRNA from 1 species
UUCGAAAUUCAAUGUAAAAAG